GCCCCUGGCCGGCGGCGGGCUCAGGCGUGAGGCGAGGCGGGGCGGCGGGCGGCAGCCGCGGCUGGCAUCGUGGCCAUGGCAGCGCCGCGCUCCCCGCCGCCGCUUUACACCUCCGGCAAAGAGGCCGCGCCGGCCCCGCCUCCGCGAUGAAUGGGGAGGCGGGCGGCGGGCGAGGCUGCCGGGACGGGGCCUUUUCGGGUUGCCGGGAGCCCCCCGGGGAUGGGGAGGGCGAUGGGGUGGUCUCUGGGGACGCCCGGUGCCGGAGCCGCCGUCCCCGAACAAAGGCAGAAGAGUAGAACAGUCCUUCAAUGAAUAAGCAGGCAUAAACAAUAAAGAAAUUGCUUAACGGCACUUAUGACAGAUCCACACUCAUUAGUGAUUACAGAGGAAGGCUGGAGCAUUUUUGGAGUAAGCAUUCAGAGAAAACCUUUGAACGAUGUUUCACUACAGCAUUCCUUCAACAGCUGCCCCAUGUGAGACAAACAGCUACACCUACCACCUUGCAGUCCACUUCUACCUGUCACUGUCAUAAAGCUCUGGUUCAUCUCCUGUGCAUAUUAAAAGAUGUGGCUAUGUAAAUAAGGAUAACAGUGGUCUCAGAUUAGGGCCCCUAAACCAAUCUGUUCAGGAAAAAGAAACUCUCUUUUAUGCCAGGCUGAGGUACCCAAGAAUGCCAGAUACAAAUAGCAUGCCAAAAAUAAAAAUAAUAAUACUCAUUCUGGUAUUUCUCUUCUCUUUGCUAUAAUUAAGACAUUCUGUAUAGAAAGAUCAUCCACUGCACCUUAAUAAUGCAUUGCUGUUUUUCUUUUUGUUUUUAUUAAGCAGCCAAUCAGCCCGUCGUAGUUCAUUUUAUUCUAUGGCACCCAGGAAUGGCAUUAUUCACAGCAUUCUCUUCUGCCCUAGACAUCACUGGCAUCAACACCCAGCAAGAACCUGCAGCUAAUCACCUCCUGGACCCAGUUUGUCUGUAGCUGAGCCCGUCAGUAUCUCACUCAUCUGUAGGACAGGACCAGACAUUAAUGCCCCUGAUGGUUCCUGACAAGCCAUGACCCAUGGGAGAAGGAGCCUCACACCAGAAGGACCCUCACCAUAGUCCUUUGCAAGACUUGCCUUGCCUCCUUUGUCACACUGUUAUUCUCUGUGAUGGAGACAAAGACACCUGAGAAGGAUCCUGGGAACGUGCCAGAGUUGUGAUUUAUGGGUGUGUCCUUUGCAGCGAUGACUGAAGAUAACUUUUGAGAAGGGAGGUUGUAAGUGUACUGAGUUCACAUCCUCUCCUCUAACAGAUAGUGUCUGCUUGUUUACAUAUCACCCCCAUUUGUCUCCAGCUGUCUCUUAGGAUACAGCUAUGCUGCUCAAAAAAGAAGGCAUGAGAAUGAGCUCAAACACUCAGGCCUAGGCAUUCACACCACGCACUUAUUGGUUCACUUCUUUGCUCUGUUUUGGGUCACUCCAGCCAUUCCUCUAACACAAACCUACCACGGAGAGAGAGAGCCCAAGAUGUGUAGACAUGAGCCAGUCAGCACCAAUUGGUUUCAGGCCCAAAGACUCUCCCUUUCUCAUUUUAUGGUAUAGAUACAGCUUCAGGCAGUCAGUUCUUGGAAGAGACAGUUGCUGUGUACAGAAAUUAAAACAACCACAUCGUACUACCAAGUCUCUUGGUGCUAUAGUAAUAAAAAUAAUGAGGAUAGUUCCAGCUAGGAAGUGCCUUUCUUCACAGGAUGUUUCACUACCAAUCACUGUUUAUGAACUUGCCUAGCCCAGCUGUUAUAGCACCAAGCAGAAUAGCUGCAGCAUUAAGGAAGUCCAAAAAUCUGGAAACAGAAAGGCCACAACUACAUCUAAAGGCAUUCUUGCCUAUGACUUGGACAACUGUAAACAGUACUUGCCUAACUUACUGGAAUAACUCCUUUGUCUCGAGAUAACAAGUCUCAGGCUCAUAGAAAUUCAUCUGGCUAUCUUGAGGAUCUACAUAAUACUUCAUUUCAUCUUAGCCAAAUUAAUAGAGUUGUAAUAAACUCCAAGACAUUCACCUGCUGAUAUCUCCCUACUUUGAUCUAAGCAAGUUUUACCAACCCAAUCUGUUUUUUGGUGCUAAAUGCAUUAAAAGAAAUACCAAAAUAAAACUGAUCCCAAGAUCCUGAAGGAUCUCAUUAGUAACUUUCUUCCAGGUUGGUAGUGAAUGUCAUCUUCCUCUCAUUAGCUCUACUGCUUUUCACCCUCCUUAUCACUUAGUUCAUGUACUAACCCUUUCUUCAAACCAGUUUCCAAGGCAGCGCUAUACCAUUUUCUUUACUGAAGUCAAAGUAGAUUAGAAAUGCUGCAUUUCUCUUGUCUAUAAAGUUAUUUCCUUUAAUCAAAGAGACUACAUGGUCUCCUUUUGAACUCUCACCGGCCUUUGUGUUCCAUUUUUCAUUUAAAUCCAUACCUUUGCAUACUUUUUCUUCAAACUACAUCUUAGUACCUUCUCUACUGCUAAAAUCUGAGUCCCAUCCCAUCUGCCAUUCCCUGCUACUCAUCUGGUUGUGUUGUACCACCUGUGAUUUUAAAAACCUGUGGAAAAAAAAUCUUUAUGUCCAGAUUUUCAAUUAUGUGCUCACAUCUUUUCACGGUUCUGGGAUGGAGACGAUCUGCUAUUCAGCGAGUGUACACUAAAGUCUGUGGGUUCUCUUCCAACAGUUUCAUCAUAAAUUGUGCACAUUCCUGCUCCAGUGCUGAUUUUGUCCUUCUCAAUACCCUUGCUGGAAACUUUGGCCAUUUAGGACAAAACCUAAAGAAGAACUUGACAACCUAACAUGCAACUUUGGUAAAGGCCUCUAAAUUCAGAGCAGUGAUCCAAAUCCUCCUCCAAAGUGGAGGAUGAUUUAGCUCAGAUGCCAUCUGAUCAAAUGGCUCCCACCUUCCUGAUAGUACUAAAGACCUAGUUACACCAGGAGUUAAUUUGAGAAGGGCUGAAGAUUCAGUUAUAUACAAGAAACCCAGAAUAUACUACAAGGGGAAUUCCUACCAAUUUAAGAAGAAACAGUUUUGUAGUUGUUAAUGGCCCCUAACAGUACAUUACUGAGGCCAUCCAAGAUAUCUCGGAAACAUCUCAGUCAUUUAGAUCAUCCCAGUCUCAGAAGCUAGCUUUAUGUUACUAAAUAAAAUGGACUGUGUCCCAUUCUCUGUCCUUAAGGGCAAGCUGCACAUCGCAGCUUGAAUCCACACAGGAAACCCCUCUUCUUCUCCAAAACAAGUCAAAAACAAGGUGGCCACCUUCAAACAUACCACUGAGAGGAGCAACCCCAUGCUGUCCCAUGAACUGUGCUCCUUCACUGCUGGGCAGAAGGCUGUCUUGCACAAACUGUACCUGAAGCAGGAACUAUUAAAUACCGCUCUGGGCCCUAACCAUGCCUUAUGUACUAACACAGGUGUAGCCAGGGAGGCUGACACUUUCUUACAGACCUAGAACCUCAUGAGCAGCUCAGGCACCAUACAGGUUGCCUUAUAUUCGAGUCAUGGGAAUGUUAAUUUCUCUCAUUUACUAGCCAAAGGACCUAAGGCAUCUUCCUCAGCAUUGUGGAUUUUGUUCCCAGAGCCAAAUUAAUUUCCUGGCAUUACAUCCCUGCAUACCCUCUUGGGUCUGGCCCUUGAUCUAAGUGUGAACCAAAUAGUGUGUUUGAUCUCAGCCUCCUACUCUGUACACAGCAGCCCUACUUCCUCCUUUUUUAUUUCGUUUCUAUUUAUACAGAUACCAAACCUUUCAGCAUUUAUCUUCACAGAUCUUUGCAGGGUCUAACGCAGCUUGACUUUUGGCACUUGUUGCUGAGUUCUUACGUUUUCUGACCUUCAAGAUUUAGCUGCCUAGAUUGACUGACCUCUUUAUCCGUUCCCAUAGACUGUUUACACCUAAUAUCCUUUCUUGGGCAAUCAUUCAUCCAGGUAACUCAGAAGAACUUCCUCAUUAGUUUUUCCCUUGCCUAGCAAGCAAAUUCCAGAAAGAUUUUAUACCACUGAUAUAAACUCCUUCAUGUGCAACUCCUGAGCUUGUCAAACCAGUUAAUUCCACUCAGAGCUUUUCUUAAAUUUCUUGACAAUUUCCCUGUGGGGAAAAAAAGAAAUCAGAAAGAUAAAUUUUAUCCUUUUUAUCCCAUUCUACUGAAACACCAUCAACGCCUUGGUCCGAAAUUACUUAGUGUAACCAGGUCUUCUAUAACAUGUUCACUACCAAAACUACACCCAAAAUACAACCCCUUUUUCUUGUGGGGAUAAGCAAGUGUGCUAUCAUAUCUCUUUAUUCUUGAGUUUGCAGCUGGAAUAUUAAACACUUGCCUACUGUCAAUUGCCAUUAAUAUUUAUUCCUGAUA